rnacentral:rRNA from 1 species
GACGAACGCUGGCGGCGUGCUUAACACAUGCAAGUCGAACGAAGUGGCGAACGGGUGAGUAACGCGUAAUAAACCUGCCCUUCAGAGGGGGACAACAGUUGGAAACGACGGCUAAUACCGCAUACGGAAUGAGGGGAUUGCGGGGGAUUGGGUAGUUGGGGGGGGAACGGCCCACCAAGGCGGUGAUCAGUAGGCGGGUCUAGAGGUAGAACCGCCAAAUCUGGACCGCGACACGGCCCCGACGUCUACGGGGGGCCGCAGUGGGGAAUCUUUCGCAAUGGACGAAAGUCUGACGGCGCAACGCCGCGUGAGUGAUGACGGCCUUCGGGUUGUUAAGCUCUGUUAAUCGGGACGCGUUACCGGAAUAGAAAGCAACGGCUAACUACGUGCCAGCAGCCGCGGUAAUUC